CCUCGCCACUGCAUAGGAGCCGGAGGGGAGACAUGCCGCUGCUUCUGGGAGAUGCUUGAGACUAAAUGUAUAUGCCUAGUGAUUUUCUAAUGGCAGUUGGAGCACAAUGAAUUUCUACAUUCUAUUGCUGGACUGAUGCAAGAUGUCUCCUUGAGCCAAUAGCUUUAGAAUUUUGAACCUGGAGAAUUUCUAACUUGGUCACAUCCAAGAGCGGGGAUAGGUUAUGAUGGAUAUCUUUACAGAAAACAAAUACUGAGUGACAAGUAGAGGUAAAAACCCUUUGGGGGACUCUGAAAAUAUAUCCAUAUGUAACAUGAUGAACCAAAUGUUCCUUAUCCUUAUUUGUAAUAUGUCUGCAGCAACGUUUUUUCUGGAUGCAAAGAAUGUUUCUAUAAGCAGACCAUUCCACUCAACAUGAACGGUCAGUUCCAUCUUAGGCCCUAAUUUUGUUAAAUGUAUUCAUUUUAAUCGAAAUCCUAGUGCAAGAAAACCUUCCCUUACAAACAUGGAUGAGACAAGAGUGCACACUUGCCCUUUUUGAUACGCUUAAUUUUCAGUGAGCCUUUUGCUACAGCUCUUCCAGAGAUUAAAGGUUUACAAAAGAUGAUGUGCACCGCAACGUGUGUUCUGAAGAACUGAACAUGCACAUCACAGACCCAGAAUAAUUUUAAUACUUAUUUCAAGCCAUUCAACUCCUUAUACUCUGGUAUCUAGGUACAAGAGAAAUUGUAAUAAAUUUCAAGUAAUUUCUCUAAAUCCCUUAUGCAAUUCUGCCAUUUUUAAUCCAUUUCCUGUACAACUGAAACCAAAAUGGCAAUUG